GUUGACCUCGGAUCAGGUAGGAAUACCCGCUGAACUUAAGCAUAUCAAUAAGCGGAGGAAAAGAAACCAACAGGGAUUGCCUUAGUAACGGCGAGUGAAGCGGCAAAAGCUCAAAUUUGAAAUCUGGCUCUUUUAGAGUCCGAGUUGUAAUUUGUAGAGGAUGUUUCGGGCAAGGUUACGGUUUAAAUUCCUUGGAACAGGAUGUCAUAGAGGGUGAGAGCCCCGUCUUGAACCGCCAACCGCGUCCAUGUGAAACUCCUUCGACGAGUCGAGUUGUUUGGGAAUGCAGCUCAAAAUGGGAGGUAAAUUUCUUCUAAAGCUAAAUAUUGGCCAGAGACCGAUAGCGCACAAGUAGAGUGAUCGAAAGAUGAAAAGCACUUUGAAAAGAGAGUUAAACAGUAUGUGAAAUUGUUGAAAGGGAAGCGCUUGCAACCAGACUUGUUCAUAACAGUUCCACUUCGGUUUUCCGGAGCUUAUUCUGUUUUGACAGGCCAGCAUCGGUUUGGGUGGUUAGUUAAAGGCUUUGGGAAUGUAUCAACACCUUCGGGGGUUGACUUAUAGCCCAGAGUGUAAUGUGACCUACCCGGACCGAGGUACGCGAUUUAUCACGGAUGCUGGCAUAAUGGUUGUAAACGACCCGUCUUGAAACACGGACCAAGGAGUCUAACAUCUAUGCGAGUGUUAGGGUGUCAAACCCUUACGCGUAAUGAAAGUGAACGGAGGUAGGAACCCGCAAGGGUGCACUAUCGACCGAUCCUGAUGUCUUCGGAUGGAUUUGAGUAAGAGCAUAGCUGUUGGGACCCGAAAGAUGGUGAACUAUGCCUAAAUAGGGUGAAGCCAGAGGAAACUCUGGUGGAGGCUCGCAGCGGUUCUGACGUGCAAAUCGAUCGUCAAAUUUGGGUAUAGGGGCGAAAGACUAAUCGAACCAUCUGGUAGCUGGUUCCUGCCGAAGUUUCCCUCAGGAUAGCAGUAACGAAAUCAGUUUUAUGAGGUAAAGCGAAUGAUUAGAGGCCUUGGGGUUGAAACAACCUUAACCUAUUCUCAAACUUUAAAUAUGUAAGAAGCUCUUGUUGCUUAAUUGAACGUGAGCAUUUGAAUGUAUCGUUACUAGUGGGCCAUUUUUGGUAAGCAGAACUGGCGAUGCGGGAUGAACCGAACGCGAGGUUAAGGUGCCGGAAUACACGCUCAUCAGACACCACAAAAGGUGUCAAUGCAUCUAGACAGUCCGACGGUGGCC
rnacentral:rRNA from 1 species